GACGAACGCUGGCGGCGUGCUUAACACAUGCAAGUCGAACGGAAAGGCCCUGCUUUUGUGGGUGCUCGAGGGGCGAACGGGUGAGUAACACGUGAGUAACCUGCCCUUGACUUUGGGGUAACUUCAGGAAACUGGGGCUAAUACCGGAUAGGAGCUCCUGCUGCGUGGUGGGGGUUGGAAAGUUUCGGCGGUUGGGGAUGGACUCGCGGCUUAUCAGCUUGUUGGUGGGGUAGUGGUUUACCAAGGCUUUGACCGGUAGCCGGCCUGAGGGGGUGACCGGCCACAUUGGGACUGAGAUACGGCCAAGACUCCUACGGGAGGCAGCAGUGGGGAAGAUUGCACAAUGGGCGGAAGCCUGAUGCAGCAACGCCGCGUGCGGGAUGACGGCCUUCGGGUUGUAACCCGCUUUCGCCUGUGACGAAGCGUGAGUGACGGUAAUGGGUAAAGAAGCACCGGCUAACUACGUG
rnacentral:rRNA from 1 species